rnacentral:tRNA from 1 species
GCACUGGUGAUUCAAUAGUAGAGUUCUCACCUUCCAUUUGGGAGGCCUGGGUUCAAUUCCCGGCCAAGGCA